GGCUCGGUGCUUAGUUGGAAAAGCACUUGUCUUGCGAAUAAGGGUCGUGAGUUCAAAUCUCACCUGAGCUG
rnacentral:tRNA from 1 species